UAGACGACGCUGGCGGCGUGCCUAAUACAUGCAAGUCGAGCGCAGGAAGUUAUCUGAUCCUCUUUUAGAGGUGACGAUAAUGGAAUGAGCGGCGGACGGGUGAGUAACACGUAGGCAACCUGCCUGUAAGACUGGGAUAACUCGUGGAAACGCGAGCUAAUACCGGAUAACACUUUUCAUCUCCUGAUGAGAAGUUGAAAGGCGGCUUUUGCUGUCACUUACAGAUGGGCCUGCGGCGCAUUAGCUAGUUGGUAAGGUAAUGGCUUACCAAGGCGACGAUGCGUAGCCGACCUGAGAGGGUGAUCGGCCACACUGGGACUGAGACACGGCCCAGACUCCUACGGGAGGCAGCAGUAGGGAAUCUUCCGCAAUGGACGAAAGUCUGACGGAGCAACGCCGCGUGAGUGAUGAAGGUUUUCGGAUCGUAAAACUCUGUUGUUAGGGAAGAACAAGUGCCAUAGUAACUGAUGGCACCUUGACGGUACCUAACCAGAAAGCCACGGCUAACUACGUGCCAGCAGCCGCGGUAAUACGUAGGUGGCAAGCGUUGUCCGGAAUUAUUGGGCGUAAAGCGCUCGCAGGCGGUUCUUUAAGUCUGAUGUGAAAUCUUACGGCUCAACCGUAAACGUGCAUUGGAAACUGGGGAACUUGAGUGCAGAAGAGGAGAGUGGAAUUCCACGUGUAGCGGUGAAAUGCGUAGAGAUGUGGAGGAACACCAGUGGCGAAGGCGACUCUCUGGUCUGUAACUGACGCUGAGGAGCGAAAGCGUGGGGAGCGAACAGGAUUAGAUACCCUGGUAGUCCACGCCGUAAACGAUGAGUGCUAGGUGUUAGGGGGUUUCCGCCCCUUAGUGCUGAAGUUAACGCAUUAAGCACUCCGCCUGGGGAGUACGGCCGCAAGGCUGAAACUCAAAAGAAUUGACGGGGGCCCGCACAAGCGGUGGAGCAUGUGGUUUAAUUCGAAGCAACGCGAAGAACCUUACCAGGUCUUGACAUCCUCUGAACACUCUAGAGAUAGAGUUUUCCCUUCGGGGACAGAGUGACAGGUGGUGCAUGGUUGUCGUCAGCUCGUGUCGUGAGAUGUUGGGUUAAGUCCCGCAACGAGCGCAACCCUUGAUCUUAGUUGCCAGCAUUCAGUUGGGCACUCUAAGGUGACUGCCGGUGACAAACCGGAGGAAGGUGGGGACGACGUCAAAUCAUCAUGCCCCUUAUGAC
rnacentral:rRNA from 1 species